rnacentral:rRNA from 1 species
GGGUUGUGAGGUUAAGCGACUAAGCGUACACGGUGGAUGCCCUGGCAGUCAGAGGCGAUGAAGGACGUGCUAAUCUGCGAAAAGCGUCGGUAAGGUGAUAUGAACCGUUAUAACCGGCGAUGUCCGAAUGGGGAAACCCAGUGCAAUUCGUUGCACUAUCGUUAACUGAAUACAUAGGUUAACGAGGCGAACCGGGGGAACUGAAACAUCUAAGUACCCCGAGGAAAAGAAAUCAACCGAGAUUCCCCCAGUAGCGGCGAGCGAACGGGGAGCAGCCCAGAGUCUGAAUCAGCUUGUGUGUUAGUGGAACGGUCUGGAAAGUCCGACGGUACAGGGUGAUAGUCCCGUACACCAAAAUGCACAGGCUGUGAACUCGAAGAGUAGGGCGGGACACGUGGUAUCCUGUCUGAAUAUGGGGGGACCAUCCUCCAAGGCUAAAUACUCCUGACUGACCGAUAGUGAACCAGUACCGUGAGGGAAAGGCGAAAAGAACCCCGGCGAGGGGAGUGAAAAAGAACCUGAAACCGUGUACGUACAAGCAGUGGGAGCACCUUCGGGUGUGACUGCGUACCUUUUGUAUAAUGGGUCAGCGACUUAUAUUCUGUAGCAAGGUUAACCGUAUAGGGGAGCCGCAGGGAAACCGAGUCUUAACUGGGCGUUAAGUUGCAGGGUAUAGACCCGAAACCCGGUGAUCUAGCCAUGGGCAGGUUGAAGGUUGGGUAACACUAACUGGAGGACCGAACCGACUAAUGUUGAAAAAUUAGCGGAUGACUUGUGGCUGGGGGUGAAAGGCCAAUCAAACCGGGAGAUAGCUGGUUCUCCCCGAAAGCUAUUUAGGUAGCGCCUCGUGAAUUCAUCUUCGGGGGUAGAGCACUGUUUCGGCUAGGGGGUCAUCCCGACUUACCAACCCGAUGCAAACUACGAAUACCGAAGAAUGUUAUCACGGGAGACACACGGCGGGUGCUAACGUCCGUCGUGAAGAGGGAAACAACCCAGACCGCCAGCUAAGGUCCCAAAGUCAUGGUUAAGUGGGAAACGAUGUGGGAAGGCACAGACAGCCAGGAUGUUGGCUUAGAAGCAGCCAUCAUUUAAAGAAAGCGUAAUAGCUCACUGGUCGAGUCGGCCUGCGCGGAAGAUGUAACGGGGCUAAACCAUGCACCGAAGCUGCGGCAGCGACACUAUGUGUUGUUGGGUAGGGGAGCGUUCUGUAAGCCUGCGAAGGUGACCUGUGAGGGUUGCUGGAGGUAUCAGAAGUGCGAAUGCUGACAUAAGUAACGAUAAAGCGGGUGAAAAGCCCGCUCGCCGGAAGACCAAGGGUUCCUGUCCAACGUUAAUCGGGGCAGGGUGAGUCGACCCCUAAGGCGAGGCCGAAAGGCGUAGUCGAUGGGAAACAGGUUAAUAUUCCUGUACUUGGUGUUACUGCGAAGGGGGGACGGAGAAGGCUAUGUUAGCCGGGCGACGGUUGUCCCGGUUUAAGCAUGUAGGCUGAUUGUCCAGGCAAAUCCGGAUAAUCAAGGCUGAGGUGUGAUGACGAGGUACUACGGUGCUGAAGUAACAAAUGCCCUGCUUCCAGGAAAAGCCUCUAAGCAUCAGGUAACAUCAAAUCGUACCCCAAACCGACACAGGUGGUCAGGUAGAGAAUACCAAGGCGCUUGAGAGAACUCGGGUGAAGGAACUAGGCAAAAUGGUGCCGUAACUUCGGGAGAAGGCACGCUGGUGUGUAGGUGAAGUCCCUGCGGAUGGAGCUGAGACCAGUCGAAGAUACCAGCUGGCUGCAACUGUUUAUUAAAAACACAGCACUGUGCAAACACGAAAGUGGACGUAUACGGUGUGACGCCUGCCCGGUGCCGGAAGGUUAAUUGAUGGGGUUAUCCGUAAGGAGAAGCUCUUGAUCGAAGCCCCGGUAAACGGCGGCCGUAACUAUAACGGUCCUAAGGUAGCGAAAUUCCUUGUCGGGUAAGUUCCGACCUGCACGAAUGGCGUAAUGAUGGCCAGGCUGUCUCCACCCGAGACUCAGUGAAAUUGAACUCGCUGUGAAGAUGCAGUGUACCCGCGGCAAGACGGAAAGACCCCGUGAACCUUUACUAUAGCUUGACACUGAACAUUGAGCCUUGAUGUGUAGGAUAGGUGGGAGGCUUUGAAGCGUGGACGCCAGUCUGCGUGGAGCCAACCUUGAAAUACCACCCUUUAAUGUUUGAUGUUCUAACGUUGGCCCCUUACCGGGGUUGCGGACAGUGUCUGGUGGGUAGUUUGACUGGGGCGGUCUCCUCCCAAAGCGUAACGGAGGAGCACGAAGGUUAGCUAAUCCUGGUCGGACAUCAGGAGGUUAGUGCAAUGGCAUAAGCUAGCUUGACUGCGAGCGUGACGGCGCGAGCAGGUGCGAAAGCAGGUCAUAGUGAUCCGGUGGUUCUGAAUGGAAGGGCCAUCGCUCAACGGAUAAAAGGUACUCCGGGGAUAACAGGCUGAUACCGCCCAAGAGUUCAUAUCGACGGCGGUGUUUGGCACCUCGAUGUCGGCUCAUCACAUCCUGGGGCUGAAGUAGGUCCCAAGGGUAUGGCUGUUCGCCAUUUAAAGUGGUACGCGAGCUGGGUUUAGAACGUCGUGAGACAGUUCGGUCCCUAUCUGCCGUGGGCGCUGGAGAAUUGAGGGGGGCUGCUCCUAGUACGAGAGGACCGGAGUGGACGCAUCACUGGUGUUCGGGUUGUCAUGCCAAUGGCACUGCCCGGUAGCUAAAUGCGGAAGAGAUAAGUGCUGAAAGCAUCUAAGCACGAAACUUGCCCCGAGAUGAGUUCUCCCUGAGACUUUAAGUCUCCUGAAGGAACGUUGAAGACGACGACGUUGAUAGGCCGGGUGUGUAAGCGCAGCGAUGCGUUGAGCUAACCGGUACUAAUGAACCGUGAGGCUUAACCUUACAACGCCGAAG